rnacentral:rRNA from 1 species
CAUAUCAAUAAGCGGAGGAAAAGAAACCAACAGGGAUUGCCCUAGUAACGGCGAGUGAAGCGGCAACAGCUCAAAUUUGAAAUCUGGCUCUUUCAGAGUCCGAGUUGUAAUUUGCAGAGGGCGCUUUGGCAUUGGCAGCGGUCCAAGUUCUUUGGAACAGGACGUCACAGAGGGUGAGAAUCCCGUACGUGGUCGCUAGCCUUUGCCGUGUAAAGCCCCUUCGACGAGUCGAGUUGUUUGGGAAUGCAGCUCUAAAUGGGAGGUAAAUUUCUUCUAAAGCUAAAUACUGGCCAGAGACCGAUAGCGCACAAGUAGAGUGAUCGAAAGAUGAAAAGCACUUUGGAAAGAGAGUCAAAUAGCACGUGAAAUUGUUGAAAGGGAAGCGCUUGCAGCCAGACUUGCCUGUAGUUGCUUAUCUGGACUUUUGUCCAGUGCACUCUUCUGCGGGCAGGCCAGCAUCAGUUUGGGCGGUUGGAUAAAGGUCUCUGUCAUGUACCUCUCUUCGGGGAGGCCUUAUAGGGGAGACGACAUGCAACCAGCCUGGACUGAGGUCCGCGCAUUUGCUAGGAUGCUGGCGUAAUGGCUGUAAGCGGCCCGUCUUGAAACACGGACCAAGGAGUCUAACAUCUAUGCGAGUGUUUGGGUGUCAAGCCCAGACGCGUAAUGAAAGUGAACGGAGGUGGGAACCCUUUGGGUGCACCAUCGACCGAUCCUGAUGUCUUCGGAAGGAUUUGAGUAAGAGCAUGGCUGUUGGGACCCGAAAGAUGGUGAACUAUGCUUGAAUAGGGUGAAGCCAGAGGAAACUCUGGUGGAGGCUCGCAGCGGUUCUGACGUGCAAAUCGAUCGUCAAAUUUGGGCAUAGGGGCGAAAGACUAAUCGAACUAUCUAGUAGCUGGUUCUGCGA